GUUAAUGUAGCUUAGAACAAUAAAGCAAGGCACUGAAAAUGCC
rnacentral:tRNA from 1 species